rnacentral:lncRNA from 1 species
AUAGCUUUUGGUGAUGCUUUUGACAAUGCAUUUAAGUGUGUCCUGAAAAGGCUUGACACUCGCUGAUGGAGGUGAUCACCAGCGCUCAGCACUACUGAGAAACUCUCAGAAGGUGGGCUGGUUCUGGGGAAGAGCACAGAGGAGGAGGCUAAGAAGCAAAGCAAAGACGUUGAGGAGCGCCUAUUGAAAAAAGUUGUUUUCAAGAAGCAAAAGAAGCCCUGGGAUUAGCAAUUCAUCUCAGCAAGGCACUCUAAACGAUCCCGCAGCACCAGUGUGACGGGGCGGCGGCGGCAGUGCUCUAAGUCAGAGGUUGUCAGCGACCCCGUGAGCUUCCCUGGGACAGGGACUCGGCCAUGCCAGUAAGGACAGAGUCAAUACUCCUUGAACUGAACUGAAAAGGACAGCUUUACCUUUCAGAACCUAGAAGACCAGGCAGCCUUGGGCGUGUAUGUCCACAUGGUGAAAACCAGCCUUUGCUGGGUGAGAGCUGCCACCGUGCACUGCUGGCUGGACAGGCUGGAUCUUUUUAUGUCUCCUGUCUGGCCCUCGAGUCACCUGAACUUGUGACCCUUGCUGCUGAGAUCUUCCGAGGAAGGAGAGAGGGUGAAACAAGGACAAGUCAUUAAAGACAUUAAAAGCUGAACUUUCUUGGAGGAGAAUCUAGACCAGAUCCUGGGCAUCUGGGGACAAUACACUGGCUAUCACAGGGCCAGAGACUAAACUUGUGAACUUGACUUUUCUUUGUUGAUUUCCCACAUUCACUCAUAUUAUUAAAGUCCUUUAGAAAAUAUCAGCUUUUUCAGACAGGCUGAGGUUAGAAAACAAAAAGAAUGGGCUGUGUUGGAGGGCUCUCCUUCGCUGUGGACGUCCAGGCUCAGGAGGAUGUGGUUCAGAAAGGAUCCAAG